rnacentral:rRNA from 1 species
GUGGAUGAGUGGCGAACGGGUGAGUAACACGUGGGUAACCUGCCCAUAAGAGGGGGAUAACAUCCGGAAACGGGUGCUAAUACCGCAUAGGUGAACGGAGCGCAUGCUCUGUUCAUUAAAGAUGGCCUUGUGCUAUCGCUUAUGGAUGGACCCGCGGCGUAUUAGCUAGUUGGUGAGGUAAUGGCUCACCAAGGCGAUGAUACGUAGCCGACCUGAGAGGGUGAUCGGCCACACUGGGACUGAGACACGGCCCAGACUCCUACGGGAGGCAGCAGUAGGGAAUCUUCCACAAUGGGCGAAAGCCUGAUGGAGCAAUACCGCGUGAGUGAAGAAGGUCUUCGGAUCGUAAAGCUCUGUUGUUAGAGAAGAACACGCAGAACAGUAACUGGUUCUGCGCUGACGGUAUCUAACCAGAAAGUCACGGCUA